UACGUAGGGUGCGAGCGUUGUCCGGAAUCACUGGGCGUAAAGGGCGCGUAGGCGGCCUGGCAAGUCGGUGGUGAAAGCCCGUGGCUCAACUACGGGUCGGCCACCGAUACUGCUAUGGCUCGAGUUUGGUAGAGGCAGAUGGAAUUCCGGGUGUAGCGGUGGAAUGCGUAGAGAUCCGGAAGAACACCGGUGGCGAAGGCGGUCUGCUGGGCCAAGACUGACGCUGAGGCGCGACAGCGUGGGGAGCAAACAGG
rnacentral:rRNA from 1 species